AAUAAACGCUGGCGGCGUGCCUAACACAUGCAAGUCGAGCGAGAAAGCUCCUUCGGGAGUUAGUAAAGCGGCGAACGGGUGAGCAACACGUGAGAAUCUACCCUUUAGUGAAGAAUACCCUCGAGAAAUCGAGGCUAAUACUGCAUACGUCCCUUCGGGGAGAAAGAUGGCCUCUUUGCUAUCGCUAAAGGAUGAGCUUGCGUACUAUUAGCUAGUUGGCGGGGUAAAGGCCCACCAAGGCAAUGAUGGUUAACCGGCCUGAGAGGGUGUACGGUCACACUGGAACUUAGACACGGUCCAGACUCCUACGGGAGGCAGCAGUGAGGAAUCUUGCGCAAUGGGCGAAAGCCUGACGCAGCGACGCCGCGUGGAGGAUGACGGUUUUCGGAUUGUAAACUCCUGUUAAGCGGGAAGAAAGCCUUGUUCUAAUACAAGCAAGGUAUGACGGUACCGCUAGAGAAAGCACCGGCUAACUUCGUGCCAGCAGCCGCGGUAAUGUGACG
rnacentral:rRNA from 1 species